GUUUAAUAACUUGCGUAGCCAAGCUCCUUUGUGUGUAUGUGCAUGCAUGUUUGUAUGCGUCUCUCUCUCUCUCUGUGUGUGUGUGUGUGUGUGUGUGUGUGUGUGUGUGUGUGUGUGUGUGUGUGUGUGUAUGUGUGAGAGAGGGAGAGAGAAACAGAGUGAGAGAGAGGGGUGAGACAGGGAGGAAAAACAGAGAGUUAGAGUGUGUGUAAAAGAGAGAGAGAAAGAGAAAGAGAGAGAGAGAGACAGAUCGGGCAGGACAUCAGAAGAUCGGACAGACAUAGUUUGUUAGCGUGUGUGAAUGUGUUUGAGUGUGUGUGUUUGUGUGUGUGGGACAGAGGCAGGGAGAGAGGGAGAGAGAGAGAGAGAGAAGAACCCAUUCCCCUCAGUUCCACACUAACUUUUCAACGUGUGCACUUGAGGGAAGUUAGCUGUUCGACCGGCUACGGAGGGGUUUUUUUCUUCCCUUUUCUCCCACCUAUACACUUUUCCCCUUUCUGCAAUAACAUCGACGAGACAAGCAGAGAACUUCCAACUGAAUAACUGUCUGCUAUUAUUUCACACAGGUGACUGGGAUGUGUAGCGUGUGUGAGGAGGAGAUGGAAUAUGCUGGGGGAGAAAGAGGCACUGCUCUGGGCUAGGUAAGGUCAUUAUUGUGGAGUCACUACAACGUUGUUGAUCCAUCCUCAGUUUUCUCCUAUCAAAGCCAUUGAACUCUGUAGCUGUUUUAAAAUCCCCAAUGGCCUACUGGUAACAUCCAUGAGCAGUUUCCUUCCUGUCCUGCAGCUCAGUUAAGAAGGACGACUGUAUCUUUGAUGUGUCUGGGUGGUUUAAUACAUCAAACACAGCAUAAUUAUUAAAUUGACCAUGCUUAAAGAGAUA